CGCUAAUGCGCAUUAAAAUUUUAUGCCAACAGACGGCAGACUUAUGCAUUUAGCCAGCUGAUUGUGAAAUUUGUUCAUUUGUUUAAAACAAAAAAAUGGAAUAAAAAUGAAUAAAAGAAAUUAUUAAUACAAAUUUUGGUAUUUUUGGAAAAUCAAUAUAAAUUUAACGAAUAUUAUUAAUUGCAUUCAAUGAUAAUAGAGUGAAAUUAAUAGCAAUCAUUGAUUGUAAUGCGGAAAAAUUGUGCGAAAAUUGUCUUGCUCUGGCAAUACCCUUCCACGUUACACGUAUUGCACGAAUUUUAGAAUUUUCCUAUAUUAUAUUUGCAAUGGCUGUAAAAUAUGUCAGAUCAUGUUUACUCGUAAAAAUUAAUUGCAACCAUGUACCGGCUUGAAUAACAGACGCUGGGAAAUCCGUAAUAGUUUGGUUAAAUUUGGCGUUUCAAUAAAUUACCAAGCCGAGAAAAAAUUACUGAAGUAAGUUUACAAAAACUACUGGACAUUGCUGGCCGUGAUAUCAAAGGAUAUCUGUUUAAGAUGCAGCUGCUUGUUGGUUAUACGUUUAAUCAAACCGCUGCCUUUGAAACUGCAUGGUGAAAGAGAAAAUUUGCUAUAUCAUCUAUAACAUCGAGAUUGGAACAGUCACCAAUAGCUUUCAACUAACAAGUUUUACUAAUAUGAUACUUUUUCUUCUACAGUUAACCGAUUGCUGUGGGAUAAAGGUCUUGAGGCGUUAUUCGAACCACAUUUAAUAAACGUUUAAAGACAAGGCAUCGCUGUAUUAGUGUUUAACACCAUACCCUGCCAACCACGGCUACCCACCUGUUACAAAUAUUGCAAUACACUACACAUUUUUUCUCUAUACACUAACACCAACGCACAUUUUCGGGUUAUUUUUUAUUUACCUAAAUGCGAUGAAAAAAAGUUUGUUUCAUUUCUUGAUUUAUUUGAAUGAGUGCGAAGAAGAAAACAUAAUUGUCAAUAGUGACAAUAGAAAAUCCCAAAAAGGGUAAUAAAAAAAACGAUUGAAAGACGAAUGUCGUUCGUGAUCAUACCAUCGUGAAUUUUAUGUGAUUUUUUAACAAUAUUUUGAAAAUAAUUAUUUUAUUUAUUUUUAUAGCAUUGGAAAUCAGAACUGAAUUGCAAGUAGCAGUAAUGUGGGAAAACAAAUGUUUUUUUUAUAUUAUAAAUGAUCAAAUAAUAUUUAUAUUUUCUUUCAGAUGUUAUUAUUAUUUUUAUUUAAUUAUUCUUUCUUUUCAGAUUUUAUCACUAUUUUUAUUUAAUUAAUCUUUGCUCGCAGAGUAAAUUCUAUUUGUAUUUAAUAUAUUUUAUUUUUUCAGAUAAUAUUAAUCUUUUCUUUCAGAUAUUAUUAUCAUUUUAUACUUUUAAUCUCUCUUUUUCUUUUAGAUAUUACAAAUUCAAUGCAAUUA